GGGGUUGUGGAUCAGCGGUAGAGCACUCGCCUAGCAUGUACGAGGCCCUGAGUUCGAUCCUCAGCACCACA
rnacentral:tRNA from 1 species